rnacentral:rRNA from 1 species
GACGUAGGGUGCGAGCGUUGUCCGGAUUUAUUGGGCGUAAAGAGCUCGUAGGCGGCUCGUCGCGUCGACCGUGAAAACCCGCGGCUUAACUGCGGGCUUGCGGUUGAUACGGGCGGGCUAGAGUUCGGUAGGGGAGACUGGAAUUCCUGGUGUAGCGGUGAAAUGCGCAGAUAUCAGGAGGAACACCCGUGGCGAAGGCGGCUCUCUGGGACGGUACUGACGCUGAGACGCGAAAGCGUGGGGAGCGAACAGG